UGGGGUCCUGGACACAGUGCCCCACACGGCUGCGCCCCACUUCUAUGGGGUGGGGAGAUGUGUGGGGCGGAGCCCGGAGUCACCCGACGGGUUCCCCCACCGCCCGCGCUAUGGGGUCACGAUGGGGACAACCCCACGGCGGAGAUGUGGGGUGAGGGGGGGGGGUCCUGACGCCGUCCCUCAGCCCCAUAGCGCCGCCCCAUAGCGCCGCCCCACAGCUGCAGGGGAGGGCGGGGGGGGACCCGAAGUUAUGGGGUUGACGCCCCAACGCGCCCGGCAAGAGGGGCCCGGCGUGUCCCGACAGGCGCUUGUGGGGCGGGACCCACACGUGUGGGGUGGGGAUCCCGAAGUGUGGGGUGGAGGACCCCCUAAGUGUGGGGCUGGGGACCCACAGGGCCCCGUAGUGGCCCACAAACCCCACGGUGACCCACAGAACUCCCCCAUGGAACCAGAGGGACCCAGAGAGACCCCACAGAGCGCCACAGUGCCCCACAGAGGACGCAUAGAGCCCCAUAGGAGCCCCACAGAGCCCCAUAGGGCCCCAUAGUGACCCACAGAGCCCUUUAGUGCCCCACAGGGACCCCAUAGUGCCCCACAGGGUACACACAGAGCCCCAUAGUUGCCCCACAGAGAUCCACAGUGCCCCACAGAAACAUACAAUGCCCCACAGAGCCCCUUAGGAGCCCCACAGAUCCCAACGGUGGCCAUAGAAGCCCCAUAGUGCCCCACAGAGCCCCAGAGUUGCCCCACAGAGCCCUAUAGAGCCCCACAGAGCCCUACAGGAGACGCACAGAGCCCCACAGACCCCCACAGAGCCCCAUGGUGCCCCACAGAGCCCCAUAGUGCCCCACAGAACCCCAUAGAGCCCCACAGACCCUCACAGAGCCCCAUAGUGCCCCACAGAUCCACACAGAGGCCCAUAGUGCCCCACAGAGCCCCAUAGAGCCCCCACAGAGCCUCACAGACCCCCAUAGUGCCCCACAGAGCUCCACAGUGCCCCAAAGGGGAUGCACAGAGCCCCAUAGGAGCCCCACAGAGCCCCAUAGUGCCCCACAGAGCCCCACAGUUGCCCCACAGUUGCCCCACAGAGCCCCAUAAGGCCCCACAGUGCCCCACAGAGCCCCAUAGGGCCCCACAGUGCCCCACAGAGCCCCAUAGGGACCCACAGGGGACGCACAGAGCCCCAUAGUGCCCCACAGAGCUCCAUAGUGCCCCAGAGAGGACGCAUAGAGCCCCAUAGGAGCCCCACAGAGCCCCAUAGGGCCCCAUAGUGACCCACAGAGCCCCUUAGUGCCCCACAGAGCCCCAUAGUUGCCCCACAGCGCCCCAUAGUUGCCCCACAGUGCCCUAUAGAGCCCCACAGAGACCUACAGUGCCCCACAGAGCCCCUUAGUGCCUCACAGGGGCCCCACAGAGCCCCAUAGUUGCCCCACAGGGGCCCCACUGAGCCCCACAGAGCCCCUUAGUGCCCCACAGAGCCCCAUAGUUGCCCCACAGCGCCCCAUAGUUGCCCCCCAGAGCCCCAUAGGACCUCGGAACCCCCACUC
ensembl:lncRNA